rnacentral:tRNA from 1 species
AGGGGUGUAGCUCAAAGGCAGAGCACUUGCCUGCUGUGCAUAAGGCUCUGGCUCAAACUCCAGCACUACUA